rnacentral:rRNA from 1 species
AGUGAACGCUGGCGGUAGGCCUAACACAUGCAAGUCGAACGGCAGCACAGUAAGAUCUUGCUCUUACGGGUGGCGAGUGGCGGACGGGUGAGGAAUACAUCGGAAUCUACUUUUUCGUGGGGGAUAACGUAGGGAAACUUACGCUAAUACCGCAUACGACCUACGGGUGAAAGCAGGGGAUCUUCGGACCUUUCGCGAUUGAAUGAGCCGAUGCCGGAUUAGCUAGUUGGCGGGGUAAAGGCCCACCAAGGCGACGAUCCGUAGCUGGUCUGAGAGGAUGAUCAGCCACACUGGAACUGAGACACGGUCCAGACUCCUACGGGAGGCAGCAGUGGGGAAUAUUGGACAAUGGGCGAAAGCCUGAUCGAGCAAUACCGCGUGGGUGAAGAAGGCCUUCGGGUUGUAAAGCCCUUUUGUUGGGAAAGAAAAGCAGCAGGUUAAUACCCCGCUGUUCUGACGGUACCCAAAGAAUAAGCACCGGCUAACUUCGUG